AUUGCUCGAGGCAUUUCAGGUGUGGCUACUGUGUCAUGUGUGUGUCAGUAGGUGGCAGAGAAGAGAGGCUACUUCUAUGCUCAGUAUUCUGACCUAUGAACAUCUGAAUGACCUGUAGCCUAACAUU